GCGCUUUCAAUUGGUUCGGCGGCUCCCUAUAUUGGGAGCGUCAGCUUGCUGACUAUGGUGAUAAACAGGCGAUGGAAUAAGCCGUUCGGACCCGGGGGCGGUACCCGGCGCCUCCACCACAAGCCGCCGAUCAAGGGCGGCUUCUGCUGGGGGCGAAAUAGGAUCGACGAAGGUGUAAAGAUCGUUCUUUUGCCCGGCAUUGUACCGCCGUUAUCGGGCUAAACUUAUAGUUGCCAACGACAACUAUGCUGAGGCACGUCUCGCUGCUUAAUGCGGCGCGAUAGUCUCGAAUCAAGCCCUGUCGGUUAGCACCGGCAGGCGGGGUUCGGAGGUACCUGGCAACAGAAACCUCCACC
rnacentral:tmRNA from 1 species